GUAGAGGGGCAAUCUUUUACUUGUCAGGAUCAGUAUUGAUUUUUAUUUUCGACCUUGCCACUGACCAGGGCCUUGAAAGUUUGGGCGAUUUAUGGAACAGUAAAAAGCUUCUAGUUCUCGAAAUUUAGGUGGCGCUACAAAUGCAAAACUAGUUAAUCUGUCGCUUUUACCGAAGGUGGCUGUCAACCAUCAAAUUAUGUCAUAUAAAAUGCGGCUAUUUUUCAUAGUUCUUUAGCUUACACAUGCUUUAUUUUUACUUCUGCCGGAAAACUAACUUUCAUUAAUCAAAUUUUACGAAACAUCUUAACAAAAUUGAUCUGUUCUCAUAUUUCGCACAAAAUUUUUCCAGUUGUUUAGUUCAGUGUGUUGUGCGUCAACUGUGAUUAAUUUUCAUUUCGUUGUGCUGACACGUGGGAUGCAGGAAAAUUUAAAAGCAGUAAAUUACAUUGUUGUAAAGAAAUUGAGAUAAAAACAGUAAAAACUUUGAAUCGAAUAUAGACAUUGGCGACAUUGCAUUUGCAUAAAUAGUUAUUGCAAUAAACUUUUUUUGUGAGAAUGAACAAAUGAACAAUUAUAUGCACGAUAAAAUUAUAUUACCCUACAUUCAUUCAAUCCCAAUUUAAGCCUUAAACCAGAUGCCAUACCUUCGGUUAAUCUCCAAAUUAAACAAUACGAGUUUUAUACAUGUCUGCCACGUAGAGUGAAAAAAGUAGGGGUGAUAGUAUAGAACCCUGAGGUACGCCUUGAUUUGUUUGCCUAUGUCUUUAGUAAUAUCAUAGAAUCCUAGGCGGAGUAAUAUCAUAGGAAAUGGGACAUUGGAAUCUAAAAUAAAUGGACCAGUGAAGCUCAAUACAUCUUGUUUCUCUAUACUUUUUGAGAGCCUCAAUGUUAAAACUUACUUAAAAUGUGAUGCCAAACCUGAGGGAAGAGCAAUUUCAGCAGUUUCAAUGUAGAGCAAUUUUGGAUUUUAUAUAAAUCUUAAAGUGUGAAAUUCUUAAAGACAAAUACAAAAUGGUAACUCCUGUAAAUUUUACUUUUACCAUAUUUACCUAUUGCCUCUUUCAUUACUAUUUUGUUGGUAUUUUUUUAUAAUAUUUAAUAAGGAACACUACUAGUGAAUUGAGGAGAGGUUGGUGAUUUUUUAAAAAAAAAUAUUGACUUUGUACAUUUUCUAUAACCUUUGGCCACACCCUGUAUAAGCUCUAUUUUGAGAGUUUGCUCUUCAUACAAUAAAGCUUCUCAUUAAAAUAAGUUUAU